GACGAACGCUGGCGGCGUGCCUAAUACAUGCAAGUCGAACGAGUGGCGCACGGGUGAGUAACGCAUCGGAACGUACCGAGUAAUGGGGGAUAACUGUCCGAAAGGACAGCUAAUACCGCAUAUUAUUCGAGCGGCCGAUGUCUGAUUAGCUGGUUGGCGGGGUAAAUGCCCACCAAGGCAACGAUCAGUAGCGGGUCUGCGAGGAUGAUCCGCAACACUGGAACUGAGACACGGCCGAGACUCCUACGGGCGGCAGCAGUGGGGAAUUUUGGACAAUGGGCGAAAGCCUGAUCCAGCCAUGCCGCGUGUCUGAAGAAGGCCGUCGGGUUGUAAAGGACUUUUGUCAGGGAAGCGGUACCUGAAGAAUAAGCAACGGCUAACUACGUGCCAGCAGCCGCGGUAAUUC
rnacentral:rRNA from 1 species